ensembl:lncRNA
CCCUGGUGCAAGGGGGAUUGCUCCACCUAACUUGCACACCGUCAGGAAAAAUCGUGCUAUAGAUAUAGGUCAAACUAAUAAAUAAUCAAUAGUUGACAGGAGUUUGGAUACAUAUUUAUUACAUUCCUGAGAGCCCAUUAGCAUGCAGUCCCUCCCCCCCUUGUGCAUGCGUAGUACGUCGUGAUGAUGAAGGCUUGUAGUCUUUCUCAUGAAGGCUCAUAGUCUUCCUCACUGCAAACUUCUGACCCAGAAGGGGGGGAAUCCCCUGAACCAGUUUCAGCUUGCCCUGUAGACAUCUAAUCACCUCCCUACCAAAUGUUUUUGAGCUGUUCUCCAGUCCUUAUCUUUAUGGCCUUCGUACUCCUUGUUAUUCCAGACCUAGUGUCUGUGAAAGUGCUUGGAAUCCUUUGUUUUCUAACACUCUACAUAAACUAUCUCUAUUUGCCCCUUAUUUCUACUUUGCGAAGAUACUUUCCUUUUUCUUGCUGUGAGACCCUUCUCUCUAUAACUGCAGGGUUCUGUUCUCACUCUUCACCUCAGUGGUCCUGGUGGAUGAGAAGCUGGACAUGAGCCAUCAAUGUGCACUUGAAGCCCAGAAAACCAACUGUGUUCUGGGCUGCAUUAAAAAAGGGGUGGCCAGCAGGGAGAGGGAGGUAACUGUUCCCCUCUACUCAGCUCUUGUGAGGCCCCAUCUGGACUACUGCGUCCAGGCCUGGGGCACCCAGUACAGGAAGGAUGUGGAGCGCUUGGAGUGGGUCCAGAGGAGGACCAUUAAGAUGAUCAGAGGGCUGGAGCGCCUCUCCUAUGAGGAAAGGUUGAGGGAACUGUGCUUCAUUAGCUUGGAGAAGAGAAGGCUCCGGGGAGACCUCAUUGUGGCCUUCCAGUACUUGAAGGGAGCACAUAAACAGGAAGGGAAAUGGCUGUUUACAAGGGUGGAUAGUGAUAGGACAAGGAGGAAUGGUUUUCAACUGAGACAGGAAGUUUAGGUUAGAUAUUAGGAAGAAGUUUUUCACACAGAGGGUGGUGACACACUGGAACAGGUUGUCUGAGGAGGUUGUGGAUUGCUGGAGGCAUUCAAGGCCAGGCUGGAUGUGGCUCUGGGCAGCCUGGUCUAGUGGUUGGCAAUCCUGCACAUAGCAAGGGGGUUGAAACUAGAUGAUCAUUGUGGUCCUUU